AGGCAGGCAGGCGGGCGUCGGGUAGCCCGAAGGCAUCAUGGCGGAUAGAGACAGCGGCAGCGAGCAGGGCGGCGGCGGCGGGGCGCCGGGCUCGGGCCCUGGCGGCGGCGGUGGUGGCGGCGGGCCCGGCAGUAGCGGCGGCGGGGUGGGCCUCCAGCACGAGACGCAGGAGCUGGCCUCCAAGCGGGUGGACAUCCAGAACAAGCGCUUCUACUUGGACGUCAAGCAGAACGCGAAGGGCCGCUUCCUGAAGAUCGCGGAGGUGGGUGCGGGAGGCAGCAAGAGCCGGCUGACGCUCUCGAUGUCAGUGGCGGUGGAGUUCCGCGAUUAUCUGGGCGACUUCAUCGAGCACUACGCACAGCUGGGGCCCAGCCAACCGCCGGAGCUGGCGCAGGCCGCGGACGAGCCCCGGCGGGCCCUGAAAAGCGAAUUCCUGGUGCGCGAGAACCGCAAGUAUUACAUGGAUUUGAAGGAGAACCAGCGCGGGCGAUUCCUGCGCAUCCGCCAGACAGUCAACCGCGGUCCAGGCCUCGGCUCCACACAGGGCCAGACCAUCGCCUUGCCAGCCCAAGGGUUGAUCGAGUUCCGCGACGCCUUGGCCAAGCUCAUCGACGACUACGGCGUGGAGGAGGAGCCGGCCGAGCUGCCCGAGGGCACCUCCUUGACGGUGGAUAACAAGCGGUUCUUUUUCGACGUGGGCUCCAACAAGUACGGCGUUUUCAUGCGGGUGAGCGAGGUCAAGCCCACCUACCGCAACUCCAUCACCGUCCCUUACAAGGUGUGGGCCAAAUUCGGACACACUUUCUGCAAGUACUCGGACGAGAUGAAGAAGAUCCAGGAGAAGCAGAGAAAUAAGCGGGCCGCCGCUGCCGCCGCAUCCUCCUCCUCCUCUGGCGGAACAGAGCAGCAGCCAGAGACCGAAAGCAGCAGCAGCACCGCUAUCCCCACUGGCCCGCCCGGAGCCUUGCUGCAGGCGGAGGAGCCAGAGGAGGAUUGAUCUCCAUCUAUCUUUCCUCCCUCCUCUCCACAUCCCUCCUUCCCACUUGGCUGCCUCCUCCCUGCCCUGCUGCACAGAGACACUGGUAAUAAUGACAACAACACACAGAGAAAGACUUUAUACUGUAAGGGAGAGAAAGAGAGAGAAAACCAACAUCCACAAGCCGAAAAUAAUGCAUACCGUUAAAUAUACCUGUUAUAACUCCAUGGGGAGCACCAUCUACCUAUCCACCACCAAAACUGACAGCCGAGCAAGCAACUUCUUUCUCUCCACCCCAUCGCUGGAUUGUUCCUUCCACUCUUGCUCAUCGUAUAAAACAGUUAUGGAAAGUAUGGAGUAUUCUUUUUGUUUUCCUGCUUGCCACCAUUUUUUUUAAAAAAGUGAACUUUGUUAGACCUGCAGACUGGAGUUUUGGGCAUUUAGGCUAUUUUUUCAUCUUAGAAAGUUUUAUACACAGUUAAUAAUUAUACUGAAGUCCCGAAGAACAUUCAAUUUAAAUGUUUUUUAUUUUAAUAUAUAAAAUUGCAGAGUGAAUUAGUCACCCAUUUACCAAAAUUCUUAGGUGGGCAUUGACUAUUUAUAUGUUAAACAUUAUAUAAUUCCAAAAAGUGUUAACAUGUAAUAAUGAAGCACUGCAUUUAAAAUAGAAUUGUGCUUUAAGUGAAUUUUGAAAUAGAUUUCUACAGAAUCAUUUAAAUAAAAGUGGGAUUGGUUUUCAAUAAAAUCAUUGCCAAUUCUACAGUGAGAGUACCCAAUACGGAAUGACAUUGAAUUUAUUGAAUUCAACAUAUUGAAUAUAUUGCAAUAUUUUUUGAACAUUUGAAAUGUUAGUGAUACAUAAUUAUAGUAUUUGACUGAAAUUACCUGCUAGCACCCUUCUUUCCAUUAACUCUUGUUUUUAAAGAACAUGUAUCAGUAUCAAGCCAUACUUUUUAAUUUACAAAUCAAGAUAGUGUCCAUAUAUGUGGAGCAUUGAUAAAAUCAGCUGUACCCUCAUGUGCUUCUUGUCAUCUGCUUCUGAUAUAUGAAUGCCUGCAGUCCAAUGGAUGUAUUGGGAAUCUCACAUAUUGGCGAUUGGGUUUAGGAUUCUGUGUUCCUCUGCAUUUUUGUGAUUUCAAGCAUUAUACUAAAUGGGUGAGACUGUGUAGGCUGUCAUGCUAUAUGAAUGUUGGAAUGGCUUAUAGAGUUGUGUAGCAGCAUUUAUCAUAUUUGUUUAUAUGAACAGUUCUUCCUCUUUAAACAAAAUCCUUUUCAUUCUUGAAUUUUCACAAUUUCUUGUCCCAACUGAAAACUAAUUUUCCUCCCCUUUUGCAGCUUUCUUUUUGUGAUUAUGAUUGUGCAAUAUUAUUGACCACAACUUUAAUCUGAGCAAUUGACACUGGUCCAUCUUCAAAUCAUUCAGAAGACUUGAAGAGAACACUUCUUUCUACUUUGGAAUUCAAAUGUAUACAUUUCAUCUGAAAUAAGUUAUUUAAAAGUCAAACAUGUCUCCAAUUCAAUACAUAAAUUACAGUACAAUUCAAAAAGUUCCAGAAAUACUAUAUUAUGAGCCUUACCUAUAUAAAUAAUUCCUUUCAUGGUUUCAAUUUGAAAAAAAAAUAGAUAAUUAAUUAGGUAUAUCAGCUGUGCUUUUUUUACUGUCAAUAUUAUCAUUUUGUAAUUUUGUCAAUAUUUAAUCAAAUUGUUUGCACAGAUGCCAAUUAAAUUUUAUUCAAUGGUCCCUCAUUUUUCCAUGCUAUAUUUCUGUCAGUAUUCAAGUUUCUUAAUUAGAAAGAUACAGAUAAUUUUGUGCGCAAACUUUUCUCAUAAUACUAAAUAUUUCUAUAGAGAUACAGAGAUAUAUAGAUACAUACAGAUGGAAUUCUAAGCCCAAUAUUGUUAAAUCUUUGUGGAUUUAUAUCUUUACUAAUAUAAAUCAGUAAAGAUAAUAAGAUAAUUUGAAAUUGUAUAUGACACAAUGAUCAGGUUCACAAUGUCAGGCUAAAGUUUCAGACACCAAUUUGAUAGGCUAGGACAAUAUACAGCAGCACCCAAGCAAAGCUUUUUCUAGCUAAUUUGCUCUUAUUACUUUAAAGUGUUAAAACAAGCAAGGAUUUACCAAGUAUGCAUUGUUUUCAUUGCAGGUAAAUCAUAAAUCAAUCUUAGCCCCUUAAAGAUGGCUUCUAAUCCUUAGUUGUUAGAAAUAUUUAAUCAUAGUCAUGGGAAUCUAUUAAUAAAUUCCUGUUCCUAUUUUUUUUCUCAUUCUCACAAUCAGAACAAGGAAGCAAAAGUGAUUAUGCUGUGUGUACUCAAAAACUGCUGAUAGUUAACAUGGUUUAUUUUGCCAUAUGAAAGUUUUUUACUCCUCUAUGUGCAAAUCUGGCCAAUGAAACAGCAGGGUUUAUAAAUAUUUUUGAAUAGAUGCCAUCAUAAAGAUAGUAAAAGCUGAAAGAAACUUCCAAAUUUGACAGUAUAAAAACAGAAUAAUAGUUUAAAAGUAAAUCAUUUUGAAUUAGUUUUAAAAUUAUUUGAGCUUGAGAUCUUCUCAAUUUUCUCCUCUCUUGAAUUCUUAACUUAGAAUGAACUUGGCCCAAAUGUAGGAUUUGUCCCAAGGCUUUAGAACCUCGUGCACAGUUUAAACAUUUCCAAACUGUUUUCUAGGUAAGAAGAAUAAUGGGAACUACUCUGGAAAUCAGUGCUUGUUCUGAAAAUCUUUUCUUCUCAAGAUGAGGUACCUGCACAAAUAAUCCAGGAAAUUCAGAAUGUUAUUGUCCCUUAAGAAAUAAUGACUGAUGGAUGACUUUUUAUUAUCUGAAUGUAGGGAUACUGUUAAAAUUUAAAGUUGAGUGUUUUCCUUUUUCUCACAAUGGUGCACAUCAUUGUAUUUGAAUGGAAAGAUUUGACAGGGCAAAGUAAUCCUAAAUACUUUUUCUUUCUUUUCUGGGUUUGAAGAUAAAAUCUAUAGAAUGUUUUGCACAUGUCAAUUUUCUGUAAAGAUGAGAACAAUCUUUCUCUUGUCUGCAUAUUUUUGCUAGUUAAUAUUUAUUAGAUGUGCCAAGCUCCAUUGGAUAUAUUUUUAUGUAAUUUCUGAAAUUAUUAAAUAACCAUAUACUAUAUGAGUGCACACAUUAGAACACUGGAAUGUUGAAUUAAGCAUUUUUAUGUAAAUAGUUACUAUUCUUCAGUUGCAGAAAAGCCUGGAUAUCAUCUCAUAACUGUUGUAUUUUGCCCUAAUGGGAAAUGUUCAGACAUUCUGUGAUGUAUGUACUUGUGCCACUGUUUAUGUGUAACUACUAAUUAUAAAUUGUAAACAUGCUUGUUUCAUUGUUCAGAAUAGUAUUUCUCUUGUUGAAAAUAUUUUCAGUUAAAUGUGAAAAGGAAUUUAUUUAUUUUUUUAUGAUUGUCUUGCAAGGUCUGUUUUCUCUACUUUUUUCCUAAAAAAAUAGUAGGGUAAAGAUUGGAAUUUUGUCUAGUUUUUCACUUGAUAGACCAAAGUUACUAUUGACACUGUCUUGCAAUGCUGAUCAAAUGUAUAUCUUUUUGCACUUUAAAUGAAUAAGAAAUGAGGAAAAUCAAAGUGUCAAUUGUACAUACUUUCACUGUACAGUGAAUGUAUACCAUUAGUUAAUCUGUUUUUAAACAGGAUAUUUUCCUUUGUGGGAAGGGGAAUACUUAAGCAAUGUAUUUGCUAGUCAAUAUAAAGUGUUUACAUGUAAUUACUUAAUAAAGUAUUUGAUUUAAGAUGGA